CAGAUGACCAGGAACUAGAUCCCUCAGUGCCACGGCCACCCCCUGACCGCUCCCACACUGGGUGGCCUUGUCUGGGGUGGCCAGGGCACGGCCCUCCAAGCGUCAGCUGCCAGGAUGUACCAGUCACGCUGGCGGGGAGAGAACAUGCCGUUCUUGGCUCCCCUGGCUGCCCCUUUGUUCACAGGCAUAGGUGGGGGGCUGUUGUCCUGGCAACCAGCCCCUUCCUCCUCGAACGAUCCCUUGAGGUGGGGAUACUGAGGCUCAGAGACGCAAGUGACUUGCCCGAGGUCACACAGCAUCUCAUCCAUCUGUGGACACUCAAGCUGUGGGACCAGCAUGGUGAUAAUGGAAAGAGUAAGAGUCUAGAAGGAUAUUAAAGGUGGAUCCAAUGUGAGAGCAGAGCCACCUGGGAGGCCGCUGCCGUGAUCAUCCAGAUCUGUCAUCUGCAGAGAUGACCCUUGAAAGUCAUGCAUGUUUCAGGACCUGGUAGAGGAGGGUGAGAGGUGCUGCCUGGUAUGGCUGGAAGGCUUCCUGAAAGAAGGGGCAUGGAUGAUGUGGCUUUGAAGAAAGCAGACGCCAAAAAUCUGAGAAGUGGGAGAAGAGUAAGAAUGGUGUGGCAUCAGGAAGUCAUUCCUUCAUUCCUGACCAUGCAGAUCCUUGUAGGCCAGGCUAUGGACCUUUGGGGCCGGAUCAUUCUGUGGGGUGAGGCCAGCCUGGGCAUCGCGGGACAGUGAGCAGCAUCCCUCCCUGCUCACCCAAUGCCAGGAGGAGCCCCUGUUCCCCUUGGUCGUGAAAACCAGGACCACCAGACUUUGCUAGUGCAGCUGGAAGGCAGAAUCGCCCCAGUUGGGGAUCCUGGGUCAAGGCACUGUAAGACCCCAGCACGGAAAUGGGUCUGGAGCCCUAACCGGGCGGGGGGGGCUACUGGAAGACCUUGUCAGUUCCCUUCAUCUUCUCCUGGCCUUCAGUAAACUAUCUGGGGCCGGGAGAAACUGAUGCCUAAGUGGCUGCAUUGUGGGAAGUUUCAGACACGUGCCAUCCACACCCCGGCCCAUCUGAAGCCCAUCUGUGCCAGACAAAAAAAAGGGCUGCCCAUAGAGUCUGAUAAAGCUUUUAAUAUUUAGAAGUUUGGGCACUUAAUUCUGGCACUCCUGGCUCUCGGGAGAUGCUGCCCCCUCCAGCUGUGGGCAGCUGUCUGGGUCCACAGGGGCACUGGUGAUGAUGAUGGGAACCUUGGCCUUCACACUGGUCAGGGACCAAGGCAGGUGGACCGUGCUGACCAGCUCGUAGUGGGUACUCAUGAUCUCGCCGUCCCGCAUGCCGCUGCUCACGGACAGCACCUGCGGGAGGUUGAGGGUGCUGACGAUCUUGGUGGUGUUGAAGGGCGUGAUCUGAGUGUUGGCCUCCUGCCGAAGCAGCUCACUGCUGUCCACCCGAGACCGCCGCUCCGCACCGGGGGUGAAGCCCUCAUAUUGCACGUGGACGUAGAGGGCGAAGGUGACCGUCUUGAUGCACUUGCUGGUCUGGUUGUGGAUCUCCGUGGUGAAAAUGACCCUCUCCCCUGGCGUAAAAGUGUUCUUGUCCAUCUGGAUUUGGAGGCAGAUGGUGCCCUGGCUGCAGCAGUUGUAGGAGACCUUCUUCUCAGCCUCCACCGACAGAGGGUUCUAGAAGGGGGGAUGGACAGCUGUGAGGGAUGGUGGCCACAAGAUCUGCUCGCCUGCCUGACAUUCCUCCAUCAAAGCUCCUGCAAACCUUGAGUUUUUGGGACUCUCCUAAGUAAGAGGCACUGAAAUAGGAUCUGGAGCCUUGGGGAUUUGGCAGCCAAAAGCCUGGCAAGAUCUCCCGGCUUGCCUUAAUCAAUACCCUUCGCCUUUCUGAGUACCAAUUUCCUCAUCAUAAGCCUAAGAAAUCCACAAGACCCUGGCUUGACCCUCACCUCCCAUGCUCACUUGCUGUGUGACCUUGAGCAAGUGCCUUGACUUCUCUGGGCCUUGGUUUUCUAGAAGACAGGAAACGUCUCACAGUCUAAGCCCAAGACUUGGGGCUUACCCGGGCAGUUCAGACUUUAGGAGGAAAUAUUAUGGGCUCUGAAUCAUGAAAGGAAAACCGUAGAGUUGAAAGUAUGUACUGUGUUUAAAUAAAUGCCUCAAAAUGCAGCCAUUCUAUCAAUGAGUCAGCUGCUGAUUUGCAAAUAAAGUCGCACAUGCAUUAUAUUUAA